AUCGCUUCUCGGCCUUUUGGCUAAGAUCAAGUGUAGUAUCUGUUCUUAUCAGUUUAAUAUCUGAUACAUCCUCUAUCCGAGGACAAAAAAUAAAAAAUUACUAAGAUUAAUAUGGGUAGCUUUA
rnacentral:snRNA from 1 species